UGCACCCUGUGAUCCACAGCCAAUAUUACUGUAUGGUUUUUGAGAAAAUUGAUAGUAAACUUUACACAAUUUACUGUACUGUACUCAAUAUAUUCUCAUCUUUGACCUCAGAUUACAGGAAAACUAUAAGAGGUGACGCAGAUAUCUCACUGGAUUCUGACUCUGGGUGACCCCCAC